rnacentral:piRNA from 1 species
UAGAAUUUUGUGAUUCUAUUCCCUCGGCCUU